GUCUUUGACCUCGGAUCAGGUAGGGAUACCCGCUGAACUUAAGCAUAUCAAUAGGCGG
rnacentral:rRNA from 1 species